CUUCAGUGAGCCGAGGUAGAGCGGAUUGUCGGUGGGGCGGUUCUGGCCGUAGGUGGCCAGGAGUGCCUGUGCUUC
rnacentral:antisense_RNA from 1 species